AGUCUCUCUCUCUCUCUCUCUCUCUCUCUCUCUCACACACACACACACACACAGAGAGAGAGAGAGAGAGAGAGAGAGAGAGAGAGAGAGACU